rnacentral:rRNA from 3 species
UACGUAGGGGGCAAGCGUUGUCCGGAAUCAUUGGGCGUAAAGAGCGUGUAGGCGGUCCGGUAAGUCGGCUGUGAAAGUCCAGGGCUCAACCCUGGGAUGCCGGUCGAUACUGCCGGACUAGAGUUCGGAAGAGGCGAGUGGAAUUCCCGGUGUAGCGGUGAAAUGCGCAGAUAUCGGGAGGAACACCUAUGGCGAAGGCAGCUCGCUGGGACGUUACUGACGCUGAGACGCGAAAGCGUGGGGAGCAAACAGG